rnacentral:sRNA from 1 species
GGCCGACGUGCCUGAGAAGCCCAGUAUCAGUGCUUGGUAGAAGGCUGCACAGAGAAGUUCAAGACCAGCAGAGACCGGAAGGAUCACAUGGUGAGGAUGCACCUGUACCCCGCGGACUUCCGGUUUGAUAAGCCAAAGAAAAGCAGAAGCCCAGCCUCAGCAGAAGCCCCAGGGGACAGUGGAGAGCGGUCAGAAGGGGAGGCCAUGGAAAUCUGCUCUGAGCCUGUGGCGGCCUCCCCUGCACCGGCAGGUGAGAGGCGGAUCUGCAGACAUAGAAUACCCUCUACCAUCUGCUUUGGUCAGGGUGCCGCUCGAGGAUUUAAAAGCAACAAGAAGAAAACCAAACAAUGCUGAUAGACUCAGAAAAGGAGUGGGGGGCAGUCACCACUGCUGGGCGUGGCAUCCGCCUUGGGCCUUUCUCCGACCUUCUGGUGUGGCCGCCCUGGGGGCCAGGCCCUCGCCAUCCUCCCCGUCCUUGUCCCUCAGCAAAUGGCAUCAGCAGCUGUCAUCAGAAGCUGUGAGGGACCCACAGAUUUUGGAAACGACCUGGACACACUAUUGGGAAGGAGAUGUGGACGGCCUGUCUCCUCCUGCAGGGCCCACCC